rnacentral:lncRNA from 1 species
GUACUUCAAGCUUAGGCUAGUCAGUAUAGCUGCAGAAAUAAGUUAGUCCUGAUUUCCAUUUUUCCUUAGGUGUGACACUCCAUACACUUUGGAAGGAAGCUGAUGAAGCAACCUCCACGGCCCUCUCAUGUUUCACAUAUUGGAAAAAACUUCCACCUCAGUCCAAUGGGAUAUGCUCUCAGGCACAAAUAAGUGAAGACAGAAGUGAAAAUAUAACAACAUGGAUUCAAACAUUUCCCUGAAUAUCUGGCAGCUUCUAGAAGAUCCUGGAACUAAUAAGGGCAAUGGGUCCAAUGUAGUAAGAUGUCCCAAGUCCAGCCCACAAAUGCAGAAGAUACCAGAACAGGCUACGGGACAUUAA